AUUGAACGCUGGCGGAAUGCUUUACACAUGCAAGUCGAACGGCAGCACGGACUCCGGUCUGGUGGCGAGUGGCGGACGGGUGAGUAAUGUAUCGGAACGUGCCCAGUCGUGGGGGAUAACGUAGUGAAAAUUACGCUAAUACCGCAUACGAUCUAUGGAUGAAAGCGGGGGAUCGCAAGACCUCGCGCGAUUGGAGCGGCCGAUAUCAGAUUAGGUAGUUGGUGGGGUAAAGGCCCACCAAGCCAACGAUCUGUAGCUGGUCUGAGAGGACGACCAGCCACACUGGAACUGAGACACGGUCCAGACUCCUACGGGAGGCAGCAGUGGGGAAUUUUGGACAAUGGGCGAAAGCCUGAUCCAGCCGUUCCGCGUGCAGGAUGAAGGCCCUCGGGUUGUAAACUGCUUUUGUACAGAACGAAAGGGUUUCUACUAAUACUAGGAGCUCAUGACGGUACUGUAAGAAUAAGCACCGGCUAACUACGUGCCAGCAGCCGCCGUAA
rnacentral:rRNA from 1 species